CUGCUGCUGAGAGAUGCCAGAUUGCAUCCGAGGAGAGCACGUCGCUGUACACGCCUCAUCCGACACGCAUGUACAGCCCUCCUCUUCUCGCCCCUGCAUUCUGCACAGUGCAUCCAAUUGUUCAAUUUGCAUCGUGCUUCCUCUCUGUCUAUGCUGAACCCUGCCCUGACCAAGGAGAUCGAAGCUAACCCACAUCCCCUCCGAAACAUGGGUAGCAGCCGGAUGCAUUUUUGCCACCCACACAUUGAUGAAUGUUGUGCCACCUAGCGUUGCAUGCGGAGAGACACACCCUAAGGGCACUCUUCCUCAUCUCUGUGCAGGCGCCUCUAAUCAGCCGGCAGAGGUCAUAUUCGCAUUCUGACAGAGAGAGACCCACAUCCGGUUCGUUGUCCCGCCCCCCAACUGAGCAACCGGCCAAUCGUUGCUCAUACAGCCGCUCAGCCUCGAACUUCGAUACGAAGUACUCAGAAUCCAGCUCUGGUUGCAGCGUGUCUUUUUACCGCUGCGCCACCUGAGCGGCCACUUUGGUUACAUUCAUGACAGAACAGUUUUUGGACUGUGGGAGAAAGACAUGUGGAGGACAGGCAAACUCCACACAGAAAGAACCCAGACCACUCCACCUGGGAAUUGAACCCAGGACCUUCUUGCUGUGAGGCGACAGUGCUACCCACUGAGCCACCGUGCCACCCGAAGGUUGCGACAGAAAGAAGAUCCGACAUAAAAACUACACCAAGUCUGUUCACCUCACUUGCAUGUCUUUGGACUGUGGGAGAAAACUGGAGCACCCGGAGGAAACCCACACAGACACGGAGAGAACAUGCAAACUCCACACAGAAAGGGCCUGGAUCGCUCCACAUGGGAAUCAAACCCUGGACCUUCUUGCUGUGAGGUGACCUUCAUUGCUGAUCGAUCCUAAUUAGAUCACCUAAUACUCCAUGACUGUGGUGAAAAAGGUCAAACAUGGUAAAGAAAGGACAAAAAUAAAACGACUGGAGUCAGUAGAAGGAGCUUACUGUGUUAAGUCUGGACUUUAUCCUAAUUAGAGCUCAGCUGGGAGUCUAGCUUUGACAGCCUACCUCUUUCGGUCGCACAGAAAUGAAAGAACGUCUCCAUGAGAGCAUUUCACCUUUCCAGAAGCCGGGCCCCUUCACACAGGGAAAUCAAAAGAGACGAAAUAAAAGAGAGGGAGGGAGUUUCCACGGAGACCAGACAGCAUCGGGAAGACGCGACUGACC